GCGAUUUGGUGGGGCAUUUGUUUUAAAUUACCCUGGCGUUGUAACAGCAAAUUGAGCAGUCUCCCAUAAAACAACAAACUUAGCCGUUUUGCGGCGCUACUGACGACCAGCAAAAGGAAAAAAAAGGGAGCAUUGAACUCGCCCCACCAGUGGAUUUCCCCAAAAAAAAUACAAGGAGCUACAUGAUGAGCCAUAAAACUAUUGCAGUUAUUUGGAGUAGAUUGCACGGGCGGCGGCGAUACCCAGAUACUUAUGGGAUAAGGUGGAAUAAAUAUUUCCGUUAGCGGCCAAAAGGCGAUUGCAAUUCAGGCCAAAGCCCCUCUAAUGCCAACUUAUCCAGUUCCUAUCAUAAAUACAAGUUUGCGAGACCGUGGUUUUCCUGCUUUCGAACCUAAGAAGCUCUGCAAAUAAAAGGGGAAAUGUGAGAAA
rnacentral:sRNA from 1 species